AAUUUGCAAUCUUCAUUCUCUAAUAUUGGUACUAGCUUUGAUGAGUCUUCAGUUGAGGGAGAUCUUCAACAACCUUCAGCUAUGAGUCAUCUAGAGCACAUCUAAUCUGAGCAACAAGGAAAUAAGGAAGCAUGAAGAAUGUUUUAAAUUUGACAAGGAACCUUUCAGGCUUGGGAGUGUAAGAGAAGGCAAUAACCAACCCCAGCUAUAAGACGUAAUUUGUUGUACAAUGCCUAUGAUCACUACCAAAUCUUUAGACUUAUAGUUGCAGAAAAGUCAGUGACCGCUACAAAAGGAUAUGGUUACACUACCCAUAGUCACACUAUGUUGCUGUCUAUCUAUUAUGACACUACAUGUUAUGGUCAUGGUUUUCACUAACUUUAGUCAUGGCCAACAACUGCAACUAUAGACCCUUCUCCUUGUAGUGUAGCUAAUGGUUGAAAUAAUCACUAAAUACUUUUGGAAAGUCAAGUGCUCUCUAUUCCUAAUUUUAAUGGCAUAGAAACACUAAUCUCUUACCCCAUCAAUUUAGUGAUUGAUUGGUUAUCUGUUUUGUCCUAGAUUUUGUAAUUUGUUUGUUAAUAUUUUUAGAUGCUCAUUACAACUUAAUAGUGUUUCAUUUAAUCGAAUGCAUGGGAAAUGUUGGUUGGACCAACAAAAGCUCUUUUAAUGGAUGAAAUAUCUACAGGGUUGGAUAGUUA